CCUGUCUGUCUGUGGCGCGGACGCCGAGCCUUUCCGCGGAGUGCGGUGAGGUGCGGGGGGCUGGGGACGCGGCGGCCGGGCGGUGGAGUCGGCUUUUCAGGAAGCCCUCAGCCCGCGCCGCAGACGCGCUCUCUCCUCCGAGGGUGUCAGUAAUAUACACUAAUGUGAACGAAUCCAGUAAAAAGAGUGGCUUGAAAA